rnacentral:lncRNA from 1 species
UUUUUGCCAACGAAGACAAACAGGGAGAUGAAGAUGAAACACAGAGACAUAAAAGAGUCGCUUAGGGAAAUGAUAAAGAGAAGGGAGAAGGCAAUUAAAGCAGGGGAAGAGAGCAAUGAGGACUUGUUGGACAUACUUGUGGAAUCCAAUAUCAGAGAAAUGGAAGCAAAGAAUAUGGGGAUGAGCAUUGAGGAUGUGAUUGAGGAAUGCAAGCUGUUUUACUUUGCUGGCCAAGAGACCACUUCGGUCUUACUGGUGUGGACUAUGGUUUUAUUAGCAAGGUAUCCCGAUUGGCAAAGUAAAGCAAGAGAGGAGGUUUUGCAUGUUUUGGGUGACAAUAAACCUGAUGCUGAUGGCCUUAAUCGUCUCAAAGUUGUAAGUCCCUAGCAUGUCUUUUGAAGGUCCGAUCAAUGAGGUCGACAACUCAAAAACUUUGUUUCUUUUUUCGCUAAUUCUACAGGUAACGAUGAUAUUGUACGAGGUUCUAAGGCUGUACCCACCGGUGGUUGAGCUAGGACGUUCCGUUCCAAAAGAAAUAAAACUGGGGAAUUUGUUGUUACCAGUAGGAACAGAAGUUUCGGUUCCGAUCCUGCAGAUCCACCAUGACAAAGAUCUUUGGGGUAACGACGCACGGGAAUUUAAGCCAGAGCGGUUCGCGGAAGGGGUUUCCAAAGCAACAAAGAGUCAAGUCACGUUUCUGCCAUUCGGAUGGGGUCCUAGGAUCUGUAUUGGCCAAAAUUUUGCUUUGAUGGAAGCCAAAAUGGCGAUGGCUAUGAUUCUCCAACGCUUCUGGUUCGAGCUUUCCCCUUCCUAUGCUCACUCUCCUUACAGCAGGGGAACUCUUCGUCCACAGCAUGGUGCACAGAUAAUUUUACAUAAACUUGGCUGUAAUUGAAUUGUUAUGUAAACAAAUCUUUGUGAAAACAUAGCGUUUUAGUGUAUCGUCAAAGUCCGGUGUCUGUAAUGGUACAAAUUCGAUGCAUGAAUAGUAAAUUUUGAGAUGUUUGGUGAAGUCCGAAAUAAUAUGCAGAAAUUGAGCGUCUAUGGUGGACAUAGUUGAGGGACUAAUGUGGUAAUUAUCAAUCAAAUAAUUCGGUACAAAGACUUGUAUGGAAAUUAAAGCAGGGGGAGUUGAAAAUGACUACUCUGCUUUGGGCAUCAAUUUAGAAAGAUUUAAAGUACAACUGUGUUAUCAGUUAAGGGAUUUGUUUUAAAGAGGGAAUGACAAUUAAACCUCAUGGUUUAUUUGUGCAAGGGAACCGAUGAUGGGAUGAUUAUUCUUAGUGGUAAAAAAAACCAUUAUGGAGGUUAUUACACUUGUUAUCAUCAGCUUAAAAUUCGAAUGGGUUCAAGUCGGAUUAUAUCGAGCUUGUAAGAUGAGUUCACGGACCAAGUUUGCAUAAUAAAAUACCUAAAUGAAAAAAAAUUCUAUUUUAGAGGGACGAGAGCCCCUAUCAACUCCCGGCUCAGCCACUAAACAAUACCUAUAUCAUAUAAAUAAAUACCACCAUCUAAAAGACUCAAAGAAAAACACUCAACAAAGGAUAAAUAGAUAGAUGUUGGAUAAGUGUCCAAAAUAUGAUUUAAGUGAAGAUACAUGUGGUAGGUGUUACGGAAAUGUGAAGACAAGAAUCCCACUAACGUAUGGGAUGUGUGCAGUUGAAUGUAGGGAGCAAAAAGAGGAGUGAAUCAUUUUGGUAACAUUUGGACAAGAAACAUAAUGAACAAAAUGGAAGGAGAGGAAGCUAGUAAAAGAAUUUUUUUGGGUCAUAUAAUUUGUUCAUUUUGGAGUUGAAUUAUAAUUUUUUUAUAUAUUAUUUUAAAAUUUUAAGGAGUUAAAACAAAAUUAUUUUAUUUUCAGAUGGUCAAAGUAGAGGUGAUAAUGGGUUGGGCUAUUCGGCCCGGCCUGACGAUUCACUCGAAAAAUAGGAGGGUUUAGGUAAAAAUAUAGGCUCGAAAUAGGGAUUUGAGCAAAAAAAGAGUCCCGUUUAGAAAAUGGGCCAGGCCUCGGGUAAAAUUUUUUGGGCCCAAGCCUGACCUGAAUUAUAUAUUAAAUAUAUUUUUUAAUUUUUAAUCAAAUAUACUUUUUUUUAUUAAUUUGGUUAUUAUUUUAGUUCUAAUUUGUUUCAAUUUUAAUAUAACCACUUUUUAUUAUAUUUUCAAUUUGUGUAUUGUUUUAAGAAUUGUUUUAGUCUCAUUUUUUUAUUUAUUUUUUGUUUUAAUAAUUGUUUUAAAAAUUUUUAUUUAAUGAAAUAAGCUAAAAAAAUUAAUAUGGGCUUGGCCAGGCCAGGCUCGGGCCUAGUAAUUUUCUUUUGGGCCGGACUUAGAUAAAAUUUUAAGCCCAUAUUUUAAAUUGGGUCCUAACCUAAAAAAUGAACCUAAAAUUUUAUAUGGGCCCGACUUGGCCCUUGAUUACCUUUAGGUCAGAGCUAUCCUCGUUUUGCAUUUCUUUGAGAUUCAGCCUUAUCUACUGUGAUUGCCCACUCAAUUGAGGGUUGAGUAGAAAGAUUUGGUGAAGCAAGCUAAGCUAUCAAUCAAGGUUUGCAUAAUUAUUUAAAUGUAAUUCUAAUAUUAAAAUAAUUUUUUUAUUAAUAUAGUAUCAACAAGCAUUAAAUGUAAUGAUCAUAUACUAUUACAUUUUAAAGAAGAGAAAACAUGUUUGAACUUUAAAAACCACGUUACUAAAAACAUUAUCACAAACCUUGAAAUAUAAAAAAUAAUUUUUUUAAUAUAAUAAAAAAUUAAUUUUAAACCCGAGCUGAAUAAAAUUCUAAUUUUAGUUAAUGAUACGAACAACAAAUCAAUAUUCUAAGCCCGAGCCCUGCUCAUUUUUUUAAUAAACACCAAAAAUUUAUUUUGAAAAUAAAAAAUAAAAAAAAUAUUUUAAAAAUAUUUUAAAAAUAAAAAAAAUUAAAAAUAAAUAUUUAUUAUAUAUUCAGGCCGGGCCGGGCUAGCCUUGGGCUAAAAAAAUGGUGCCCGAGGCCCGGCCCAUUUUCUAAAUAGGCCUCAUUUUUUGUCCAAACCCAUAUUUUGGGCCUAUAUUUUUACCCGAACCUCUCAUAUUUUGGGCGGACCGUCGGGCCGGACCGGGCCGCCCGGCCAUGAACACCUCUAGGGCAAAGUCACUCAAUGAAUGCAUGGAAAGAAAUAUUGCAACUUGGUGACAGCUUUUGUUGGAGUUAUAUGCUUUUUUUUACAUAGUGGAACUUUCGGUGGAUUUUCAAGUUUCAUGAACUUUAUACCCUAGGCUUUACGUGAAAAAAAUCAUUGGACUUAAAAGUCUACCAAAAGUUUCACUAUAAUAAAUAAAUAAAUAAAUAACAUUGCUACAAGACUACAACAUAAAGUUACAAUAAGAGCUUAUAACUCAACAAAGGCUAUCAAUAAAUAAUCUCAAGCAAGCUAAAGAGAAAUGUUGAGAGUACCACUCAAAUAGUGAUUGACUUUAAAAAUUGAAAACCCGAAGUUAUUGUUGACACCAUUUUUUGGAUGAAAAUGUGUCGACUUGGGUUUUGAAAAUGAAAACGAAAACGAGAGUCGCCACCAAUCCUUUUUGAUAAGGUGUGACUGGGUCACCUUGAAAAGUGGUUGUUUUUAAUAAACGAUUUGAUUUUAUUAAAACAACAGUUUUGGUCCACGAAAUUCAGAAAAAUGAGUUCGGGAGUCGGUUACGCACGAGGAAGGAUUAGCACCCUCGAUACGCCCAAAAUUGGUACCUAGUUGAUUACUUAAUGUCUUAAUGUCGAAAAUUGAAAACUUUGGAGAAUUUUAAACAUACGAUCCUUGUAUUAAAACGUUAAAAAUUUUCAAGAAAAUGGGAUAUUUCACGUUAUUCGAUAAAGAGAAUCAUAUCCUAGUAAGUUAGGACACAAUAUCUCGAAUUUCCGAUAUCAUUUAAAACUUGAGUUUGAAAAGAUUCGUGUAAUAAAGUUUAAAAUAAUAUUCAAUUGUUUAAAUCAAAUGAAGAAAUCGCAACCCAAUACGUUAGGGCACAAUUUCUCAAAAUAUUAAACAUUGAAUAUUGCAUUUAUUUCGAAAAAUCCUCAUCUCGAGAAAACGUGUCACAUCCAAUGCAUUAGAAUACAACGUAUUGAAUUCUCGAUAACGAGCUUUUUCUCAUUUUUUAAAAGAGUAAUCUCGAUUAUUUAGGUUCAACGAAGAAAAUCAAAACCCAAUACGUUAGGGCUCGAUUUUCUCAAAGAUUCCAAAUACCGAGUAUUACUUAUAUUUUUAAAAUUUCUUUUUUGAAAUCCGAGUAAAAAUGAAUGCAAAAUAAUAAAUGAUGACAAUGUAAAUAAAAUGAUACAAGCAAAACAAUAAACAAUAAAAAUAAUCAUACGGGCAAGGUAACAAAUAAUUAGGAACUAAAGAAAGAGAACAAACAAUAAUAAACAUGCAAAUAAAUGAACAAAAUUAACAACAUGAUGCAAAUAUGAAAGAUAUAUAAGCACAUAUAUAUACAUAAAAUAAUGAGAAUAUGAAAAAAUGUGUGUAAUUGGACAUGUUUCGGAAUUAUUAUACAUUUAAAAAUCAUGUAAAUGUGUGUACAUACAUAUAUACAUAUAUAAUAAUCAUUAAAUAUAUAAAAAUACAUAUGUGUAGGUAUAUAUGAGUCAUAAAAUGUAAAGAAUAUAUACAAGAUAUAUUUUGAACGUAUAAAGUAUAUGUAAAUGUAUAUAUAUAAUAAAGGUGUAUGAAAGCAUAUUUUAUAUACGUGUAUUUAUAAAAUGUAUAUAAAUGUAUAUUGAUUUACCAAUACAUAUGGAUUUAUAAUUAUAGAAUAUAUAUAAAAUAUUUACAUAUAUACGUUUAUGCAUAUAUAAAAGUAAGUUAUUAUAAAAUAUGAGCAAGCAGAAUACAUAAAUAUAUAUACAUAAAAUAAAAAUGAAGAUGAAAAUAAUAUAAAACUACUUAAUAUAUUAAUAUAAUAGUAACAAAUUAAAAAAACAGAAAAUAAAGCUAAUAAUAAUUAAUAAUAGUAGUAAUAAUUAUAGCAGCAAUGAUAAUGAUAAUAAUAAUAACACUAAAAAAAUUAAUUAAAUAAUAAAAUUGCUAAAAAGGGAUUAAAUCGAAAUAAAAACAUAAAUACUGGGCGAUUUUGAAAUAAAAAACGGGAAGGACCGAAUUGCAACGCGCGUUGAAAAGGAAAGGGCCAAAACUGCAAAUAAACCACAGCCCCAAAACGCAGCGUUGAAAUGGACCAAGUCGAAAUAAAAAUAAAAUUGCAGGGGCUAAAUUAAAAAUAAGAGAAAAUAACGAAAAAUGAUCAAAUUGUAAUACGCUGCAAAAUCAGGGGGACUGCACGCGCAAAUAGCCCAAAAACUGAAAACACGCGGAUCCUCCGGGUCGGGUCGGGUCGGGUCAGGUCGACGUGCGGAUCCCCUUUGCUAAAACGGCGUCGUUUCAUGUUUAAUAUAAAUACUAAAAAAAGCUAAAAAAAACAGUUUCAUCUUUUUUUAAAAAAAACAGAGAGAAAACUCUCUCUUUUUCCCUCAGGUCCGGCCAUGGUCCGGCUUGGGAUUUCCGACGAGUCUCCGCCGCAAAGCCACCGUGUGUGGCGGCCGGAGGUUCAAAAUCAGACCUUUUUGGUCCUUUUUUAAAGUCCAUGGCCUCCAAGCCACAGAUCCGGGGCUGAAUCUCCUGAAUCGAAAGCCGAAGACCCAAAAAAUGGGGUGAAAUCCUUCGCCUUCCUCCCCCUUCCGGCGCUGCGCAGGUAAGGUUUUUUUUAACUCCUUUUUUACUAUCUUUAUUUAUAUAUAUACAUGAAGAGAAAAGAGAGCAAAAUAAAUAAAUAAAUAAAAACUUCAAAACUGAAGAGAAAAAGACCUUGAAUCUGCCUUAUUUAUUUUCUUUCGGUUGAAUCUGUUUUUGUUUGUUACAAAAGUUUCCAGGGAAGAGAAAAAAAAAGAGAGUUACAUGCUUGGCUUUUAUAGCCGAUAUUAAUUUCUAUUUUUUGUUUUCUUUUUCCUUUCUUUUCUUUGGCUGUUGCGUGUUUGCUUCCUUAUUGCAGGGUGAUUGACGGGAGUGGUUGGCGACAGAGUCGGUGGCCACUUGCACUGAUGAAGCAGCGGUGGCGGCGCUAGGGUAGGCUAGGGACGGCGGCAGUACUAGGGUUUCAGAAAACUGAAACCCUAGUUUGACAAAUUGGUUUCGGGCCUGUUGGGCUUUAAAUUAUGGGCUUUGUAAUUGGGUUUUGGGUUUAGGUGAUUUGGGUUUAGGUGGUAUGGGCCCGGGUCAAAUUUUGGGUAAUGGGAUUGGGGCAAAAUUGGGUUGUACAGUUAUAAUAUCCCAAACGAAAUCAAACUAUAAACAUUAAAUUUUUCGAGUCUUCUAGAUACUGUAAAAAAUUCAGCUCCAACGGACACCAAAUGAACCUAUGAUCGAAGAAAAUACGAAGACUAGUCUGGCUAAAUCAAUCUGCCAAACUUACUUUUUAUCUUAUCUUUAAUUUGCUGUGAAAUUCAAAACUACGUGUAAUACUCAAUUUAUGCUCGACCCAUUUUGUUAAAACAAAUAAAAAAGAAAAGAAAAACAAAAUAUUUAAAUUUAGCCCAAAUGUCCAUUUACACAGCCCAAUUACAAUUGCAAAUAAAAAAAACUAAAACUAAACCCGAUCCUAAGCAUCAGCCCAAAUUCGACCCAUGCCCAAAACGAAUUCAGAUGCAGAAACCCUAGCCCAGCCUUAAUGCAAGCAAAAGUCGAAAGCCCUAAUAGUUGGUGCGCCGCUCCUGUAACAGCCCGAUUUUGGGCCUAGUCGGAACAGUGGUUUUGGGACCACAAAUCCGACGAGAAAAAAAUGUAAUGGCCCGAAUUUUCAGAGGUGUCAGAACGGUGAUUCGAGAUCACUAAAUUCGACAAAUGGGUAGAAAAUAUUAUUAAUUUAGUAAGUAUAAGUUAAAUGUGAAGUUAGGAAAAUUUUUGAAAUGGUGAAUAGUACACUAGAAAUAAAUAUUAAAAUAAUUAGAAUCGAAAAUGAGGUAUCGAGACCUCGGGGAUUUUAAACCGAGCCAUAAAUAUUUUUAUAAAUAUUUAUGUAGUCUUAAAAAGUUAGUAUUAAAGUUUCGUUAAGAAAUUUUAAAGUUCCGAUAAUUAAUUGAACAAAAAGGACUAAAUUGUAACAAAUACAAAAUUAUGAGAAAUGAUUAAAUAGUUUAAAUGAUAAAAGGAAGAGGGCUUAAAAGGUAAAUAGACCCAAGGUCUAUUUGGGCUGCACGGCAAAGGCAUGAAAUCAGCAACAAAGUAAGGAGAAUUAAGGGCAAAAUUGGAAUAUUGCAAAAUUUACUUAAUAAAGUUAGGACCAAAGUGGAAUUAUCUAGAUUUCUCUUUAUUUUUCUGCAUUAUCAUCAGCAUAAACACCAUAGAAGGGUUUUCUUAAGCUGGUUCUUCCUAUUUUUACUGCAGGUAAGUUCAAUUCUUGAUUAUUUCUUGAAAAUUUUGUGUUUUUGUGACUUUUACAACUAGGCCCACUUAUUGUAUUCAUUAGUUUUUGAUUCUAUGAAAGAAGUUGAAAGUUGCUAUGAAUACAUGCUGGAAGUAUAUGAUGAUUUAGCAUGGAAUUAGAGCUUUAAAUUGUUCAUAUGCUGAUUUAUUGAAAGAAUUGAAUAGAAAGUGAAUGUUUGGGACCUAAUAGUAAAAGAGUUUGAAGAUAGAGUUAUAUGUGGAAAUUCUGAAUUUCAAUAGUUGUGAAACAACUUAUAAUGUCUAGGUUAAGUAUUAAUUGAGAAAAUUAAAUUAAUUGAGGGGUUAAUUGAGAAAGGACCGAAUUGUAUAAACUGUGAAAUUUGGGGCAAAAAGGAAAUCAACAUUUUACACUAAAGCAGUUUUGGACAGCAGCAGUAGUAUAACUUUGAAAAAUCACCAAAAAUUUUGAGAAUUGAAUUAGAGGGUGAAUAAAAUAUAAAAUUAAAGCUCCUUGAAUCUAGUUUCUCAUAGAAGAAACGGUGUAAGCAAUGGAAUUGUAAAUCAUGAGAUAUAAUAAAUUUUGUGAGACAAUGUCAUAAUGAUUUCGGGUUCCCCUAUUCUGACUUUGGAAAAUCAUCAAAAAAUUAAGAAAAAUAUGAGUUAUAAUUUAUAUGAUUACAAUCCUUAAUGAGUCUAUUUUCAAAGAAAAUAAACGGAAAUAUCAUCCAAAUUCUGUACAAUUAUAUAAUUCAUUUUUAGUGAAGAGUGGUCGAAACUGUCAGACAGCGAAAUAGGGGGAACUUUAAAGAAUAAACUGUACUAUUUGGCUGAACCAAAAAUUCUGAAAAUUUUAUGGUAAGAAGGUAUGUGAGUCUAGUUUUAAGGAAAAUUAACGGAUCUUAAUUUAGAGCUCUGUAGCUCUAGAUAAAAAUAAUUUAGUGACUCUGACUCAGAUAAAUAGCUUUGAAUGUACAUGUGAGUGAAUAGUGAAAUUAUAGCUAGUGUUGUUUAAGUGUGUUAUACACAUUAAGGAUAUGGAAUGGAGAGGAGGAGGAGGAGGAAAAAUUGGGAAAUAUAUGAAUGAUUUGUGUAUAAUUGGUCAUAUGCUUAAUUAUAAUUGAUAAACGAUGAAAUAGAAAUGAUGCAUAUAUUUGUGCAGUAUUGGUCAUGGUUUAAGCUCAUGUGGGAAAAUAAAGUUUAUAGUACGUGUGUAUUAUAUUUUUGGUAUAUGAUUUGGCAUUAAGUAAUGUCGUGAAUGGAUAUUGAAUUAACACAUGUUGGAAAGUUUGAUAUAUGAAUAAAUAUUGUGAUCAUGAAAGAGUGUUACAGCUCCUGCCUUCAGCACGCGUCGAGCCUCCGCGCCAAAUCCACGUGAGCCUCCGUACACUCCAACUAGCCUCCGUACCUGCAACAAACAAAAGUAGACAAAACAACAGCAAAGGAUAGGAAGAAAAGGCAGUAAAUAGUGAAGAUUUUUCUGUAAUUUUCUUUGGAUUUCAUUAUGUAUUUUCGGCUAUAAAAGAGCCAUUAGGAAUAUUUGUAAAGGGUUUUUUUUUUACCCUCACACACAAAGAGAAUAUACACGCAUACAAGAUCAAUAUAGAGAAAGAAAUAAAAAUAAAUAAAUACAAAGAAUAGAAAAUCAAGUUUCGAAGGUGAUUCUUUGAAAAAUCCUUUUCGUUUUUCUCAUUUUUCCUUUUUCCUGGAUCUUUUGUUCAUUUCAAGUAAAAAAAGUAUAGAAAGGAAACAAGUUUAGAGGAAGGAGGUUUACCUGGACGCCGGACCUCGCUCGCCUCGUCGAAAUCGAAGGCUGAGAGGGGAUAAAUCGGUUUUGCGGCAGAAGGAAAGGGGGGCUAGGGUUCUUGUUUUAACUUUUUUAAAAAAAAUAGAAAAGGUUGCUAAUUAGGUUUUAAUGGGGGAUUUAUGUGUGUUAAAAAAACGACGUCGUUUAGCGACCUUUGACCCGUGCGGUGACCCGACCCGAGGAAAGGAUCUGCGCGUUUUGGGUCUGAUGGGUUUAUUGCGCAACAAGCCCUUCCGCAUUUGUUUUUCGUUUCAAUUCGGUUUUUAUUUGUUUUUUAAUUGUUUUCUCAUAUUUAGUUCCAAUUUCAAUUGGGUCCAUGAUUAAACGACAUCGUUUUCAUUGAUUGGGUUUGAAGGCCUGGUUUUGUGCGUCUAAAUUGCAGCAAUGGUCCCCCUGAUGUGCAAUAGUUCUCGAUUUAGUCGUCUCCACACUUAUUUCAAAGUCGUCCUUGAGAUUUUGUUUUAUUUUUGAAAUUGUCCUUGUCUUCUUUUAAUUUAUAAUGAUAUUAUUAUUAUUGUUGUUGUUAUUAUUACUAUUAAUAUGGGUAUUGUUAUCAUGUUAGUUUAUAUCUAUUUAUUUACUUUUAUUUUAUUAUGUAUUAUUAUAUAAUGCUUUUAUCAUGUAUCAUUUUAUAUAUUUUCUAUGUUAAUCUAAUAUGAUAUAUAUAUAUAUAUGUAUUUUUGUGAUCUUAUUUUAUAAUACUUUUUUAACCCAUUUAUAUGCCUUUAUGUUUUAAAGAUUUAUAAUAUUUUGUGCAAAACUAUUAUAUAUAUAUAUAGAUAUACAAUUUAUAUUAGACCAUUUUUAUCGUACAUAUACGUAUAUAUAAUUUAUAUUUUGAAACUCUAUUUUAUUAUAUUUUAUGCCUCUAUAUACAUCAUUAUAUGUUUAUUAUUCUUUAUAUUAAACCUGCCAUUUCACUUAUAUAUUUUUAAAACCAAUGUGUAUUAUUCUUUCUUCUUUGUUAUUUUUUAUCUCUUAAAAUAGAUUGAUAAUUCAUUUAAUUUUUGAAUGUUGUAUGACCGAGAUUAUCGUUGCCAUUCUUGUCCAAAUUUAUCCAUUGCUUGUUCAUAUUAUUUGAUAAUUUAUCGCUCACUAGCAUGUAUCGUAAUUUACGAAUUAUCAUUUUGAAUUAUGUACUACCAUUCAAUCGCAUUACAUUUGUUUGGAAAACAUCGAAAUCGUUUUGCACAUAAACCUUCAAAAUGCUUGGUAUCCAAAAUUCUCGAGAGGAUUGUGCCCUAAUUUAUUGGGCUUCAAUUCCCCUUUUUGAUUUUAAAUAACCGAAUACCCCUUUUUCAAUUUGAACAUAGAAAUUCCAAAAUAAAAAAAAACUCAUUCUCGGGAAUUUGAUGCGUUGUGUCCUAACGUAUUGUAUAUGACAUAUUUUUCUCGAGACGAGGAUUUUUCUAACAAAUAAAAAUAAAGGCAAUAUUCGAUAUUUAGGAAUUUUGUGAAAUCGAACCCUAACUUACUGGGUUUUGAUUUUUUCAUUUGACCCAAGUAGGAUAUCCUUCACAAAUGCACAGAUUUUAAAAAAUCAAAAGAUAAACUUAAUUUCGAGGAUUUAAAAUGUUACACUCUGACUUACUGAGUGUGUCAAUUUAUUUCUUUGAAAUAAGUGAGUCUUAUCAUCCAAUUUAUUUUAUUCAAAUUUUCUUUUCCAAGGAUCGUAUUUUAAAAUUUUUUCAAAAUUUCGACAUUAAGACAUUAAGCAAUCAAUUCAGUACCAAUUUUGGGCGUCACGAGGGUGCUAACUCUUCCUCGUGCGUAAUCGACUCCCGAACCAGUUUUCUCAAAAUUCACAGACCUAAAAUUAUUUUCAAGGUGAUCCGAUCACACCACAAUAAAAGAUCAGUGGUGACUCCCAUUCCUAUUUUUAAAAGUCGAUUCCUGUUUUUCAUAUAUAAAAAAAUGGUUUCGACACUACGGUUUUGUUUGUUUCCCUUAGAACAACUUUCAAAAAGUUAAUUUUGAAAAAUGGAUUGAAUUUUCAAAAUAGAUGAUAUUUUUUUGUGUUAAAAUUUUAUUCGUUGUUUGAAAAAAAAAUUUAAAUCAUUUUCUUAGAAUUAUUUUUAGUGAAACAAAUAUAUCAUAAAUAUAUUUGUUAUAAAAUAUUAUAUUAAUAUUUUCUUUUAACAAUUAAAAUAUAUUUUGUGAUAAGGUAAUAUUUUAUAAUAAUUAAUAUCAUAUAUACUUAAUAAUAAAUCAUGUCUAAUUAAAAUUUAAUUUCAAUUAAAUAUAUUAAUAAAGCUACAUUUAAUCAUAUUUUAUAUAAUUAAAAUAUUAAUAUAAAUAUUUUUCAAUAAUAUAUUAAAGAAUAUUUAAAAUUUAAAUUUAUUAUUACUAAGAUUAAUUAUUAAAACAAAAAUGUAAUAUUAAAUAAUUUAUCCAAUGAUAAGUUAUAUUAAUAAUUUAUUAUAUUAUUAAAUAUAAAUAAUUAAAUAUGUAUGUUUAAUAAUAUUAUGUUAUAAUAUUUAUUACUAAUAUUUUAAUAUUUUUAAACAACCAUGUUUUAAAGAUGGUGGUGAUGGUGAUGGUGCAGGCCCCCUUGUUAAAAUUACAAUAUUUUUAAGUGGGAUGCAUGUAAUAUAUUGUUAGGGUUUUAGAGUAUGUGGUCUUUAAAAGGGUUAAAUUAUAUAUUUAUAUAAUAUGAUUAUUGUUUAUAAACAUAAUAUUGUAGAUAAGUUUAUAUGUAUGUCAAUAUGUAUCCUACUCUAAGGUUAAUAUGUAUUUUUUAGAUGUGGGUUUACCUAUAUAAUAGUAUGAAUCCAUCAUGUGGUCUCAUGAAAUAUACAAACACAUAUCGUGCGAACACAAAGUACGAACAAUAAAAAAUACAAAUCAAGACCCAAUUGAAUAAUUGAAUAACGGAUAGGUAAUAAUGAAUAUCAUAACAUUUACUAUCCCCUCUUUUCUAGUGAGUUAUUGUUUAUGAUAAAUUUGCAACAAAUGUUUUUAUCAUUAUUUUGUUGGUAAAUGAUAAUAAGAUUAAACAUUACUUUCUUAAGCUCCUUCAAUUCUUUGGACGUUAGCGAGUAAACUUGAGCUUCAGCAUUCCACAAACACCUUAAUUUGAAGACACAGUUCUCUCAUACUAAAAACGACAUGGACGUUUACCUUGUAAUUAGAGAUUUGGGCUCAUUGUUGGGUUAUUAAUGAUACGGGGAUGGAGAGCUUUAAACUGGGUAUGGUUGGCCCCAAAGAGGCUCGAAACGUGCUUGAGACUAGAGGUGAUCAAGGGCCGGGUUAGGCCCAGUCUAGAAAAAAAAUUAGGCCCAUUUUUUAGAUUUGAACUCGGCUCGGCUCAAAAUAUAAGCUUAAAAAUUUGUCUAAGUUCAGUCCGAAAGAAAAUUGUUAAGCCCAAGCUCGACCCAUAUUAAAUUUUACAACACCAAAAAAGUAUAUUUAAAUAAAAAUAAAAUAUAUAUAUUUAAUAUAUAAUUCGGGCCGAGCUGAACUCGGGCCAAAAAAGUUUUACUCGGGGCUGGUCCGUUUUCUAAACAGACUUCGUUUUUUUUGCCAAAAUCCAUAUUUUUACCCGAAUCUUCCUAUUUUUUGGGGUGUGCCGUCGGGCCGAACUGGGUAACCGAACCAAUGAUCACCUCUGUAAUCACUGAAUUUUGUCCGGGAAUAACUUUCGUUAAAAAAAUUUUAAAAUUAAAAAAAAAUUAACUUUUUUGCUUUUUGACCCCUAAACUUUUCUAAAAUUUCAUUUUAACCCCUAAACUUUCUCAAAAUUACAGUUCAACCCCUAAACUUUUCUAAAUUACAUUUUGACCCCUAAAAUUUCUUAAAAUUACAUUUGGACCCUUACACUUUCUCAAAAUUACGUUUCGGCCCCAAAAUUUUUGCUACAUUUACAAAUUGGUCCUUCUGUCAGAAAAUCCCCAAUAAUCCGGCGGAUUUCGUGCACCUGCCCCACUAUUUCCGGCAGCCGGCCUAGGGCAUGGCCUUCCCCACCUGCUACCUGCAAACAAGAAGCAAAAUCAACUAUAAAAAGGAGUUUAAACUCCAAAAAUCGGACCCCCACCCACGAAAAAAAUAAAAAAAAAAAACUUGAAAGAAAAAGAAAAAAGCUUUGAGAAAGAAAAAGAAAAGGAAAAGAAGAGAGGGGAGAAGGAGAGGCCGACCAUCGGCGAGCCACCGGAGGAGGCGACGGCAGCAGCGGCAUCGACGGCGGCGUAGAAGACCGAACGGAGAAGAAGAAGAAGAAGAAAAAAAAAGAAAGAAGAGAAAGAAAGAAGGAAGAAGAAGAAGAAAGAAACAAAAAAAAAAGAAAAUAUUUUGUAAUAGUCGGCCCGGCCCGACUCGACCUGCACGACCCGUGACCCGACCCGACAGCACCAGCAACCUAGCAGGCCACGGUAGCAGCCCGGCGGCCCAAAGAGUAGCCCAAAAAGAAAAAAAGAAGAAGAACAAAGCAAAAAAAAAAAGCAGGCCAUUUUCAGCAGGCCCAGUGCAGCCCAGCAGACCCAGCGAACCCAGCAGGCCAGGCCCACACGCAAGCAGCCCAACAGAAAAAAAGGGAAAGAAAAAGAAAAGAAAAAAGAAAAAAGAAAAAAGAAGAAGAAGGGGUUCAAUUUGUAUUAUCCGUUCGGCGAAGCUCGUGUUUUGAGGAUUUUUUUUCGGUAAUUUUAUUUUUUAAUUUUAAUUUAAUGCUCGUAUUUUUUUUAAAUAUUAUUAGUAUUUUAUGCAUUUUUAUAUUUUGGCAUUUAUAUUUUUAAUUUAAUUUACUUCAAUUUUUAUUUUAUUUUAUUUUAAAUAAUUUUAAUAAAUGAGGCAACGAAUCGAUUUAACAUAAAAUCGUUGAUUUCAUUGCUAUGUUGGGUGAAUAUCAUCGGUUUGUGUUAAACACGAUACACCCUUUUUAAAAAAAAGAAAAAAAUCGAAAAAAUUCUAAAAUUCUCAUUUUUUUAAAAUUCUCGUGUUUUAAUAGAAUCACGAUUAAAUAUUAAGUUGAAUCGAUUUGGCACUAAUUCGAUGAUUUCAUCUCCAUGUAGGGAUGAAUAUCAUUUAUUCGUGUUAAAUAUGGUACUUCUGAAAAAAAAUCGGGUUUCAAAAAUUUUCGUGUUUUCAAAAAUUCUCAUGUUUCAAAAAUCUUCGUGUUUUAAAAAUUCCAGUGUUUCAAAAAUUUUCGUGUUUUCAAAAAAAAAUUUCUCGUGUUUUUAAAAAUUCCCGUAUAUCGAAAUUUUCUUGUUUUCAAAAAAAAAAUUCCAUGUUUCAUAAAUUUCCGUGUUUUCAAAAAAAAAUUCUUGUUUUUCAAAAAUUUUCGUUUUUAAAAAAUUUGACCGUGUUUCAUAAAUUUUCGUAUUUCAAAAAAACCUCGUGUUUCAAAAUUUUCGGGUUUUUUUAAAAACAAUUCGUGUUUCUAAAAUUCUCGUAUUUUAAAAAAAAUCGUGUUUUCAAAAAAAGAAAAAGUUGUUGUGCUUUAAAAUUAUCGUGUUUCAAUCGGAUCACGAUUAAUAUUAAAUUGAACUCGUAUUUUUGAAAAUGAAAACAACGCGCGUUUAACGAGAUACCAAUUUUGGGCGUCGCGAGGGUGCUAAUACCUUCCUCGCGCGUAACCGACUCCCGAACCUUAAUUUUCUCUGAAUUUUUACGUGGACCUAAAAUUACCUCUUUUUAGAAAAGUUUAAAAAUGAAUUUUUCUUCUAAAAAGAGAAUUUUGUAGGUGUCCGAUCACACCUAAAAAAAGAUCGGUGGCGACUCCUUUUUUUCAAAUAAAAUCGAGAUUCAGUUUUCAAGUUUUUAAUAAUUACUUCGACAAGCGCCCGUGCGCAAAAUUUUUAAGUCGCUACAGCCUCUACUUGAGACAACAGGGUUUUGCAGGGAAUUCUUACAGGUUCGUUUCUGGCGACAAAAAAGAGCUCUUCACUAUAAGCAUACAAACAAGAGCCAAAACUAUGCCUCUUAGUGAUGAUAUUAGGCCUUAUGUUAUUCCUUUUCAACAUCAAACCGUCAACCGGUAUGGUAUGUUUUUUUUAUUUAAUCUGCAAUUUGUGAUAAUUCUUUGUUAUUUAUGUAUGGAAUUUAUUGGGAGGAAAUGCUGGAAAGAAUUCAUUUACGAGAAUUGGUCCAAGAUCAAGGGUGAACAUUACGGACCCUGAAAAAUAAGAGAAAUACUUAACAAAUUUAAUGACUUCCAGAAGAUACGUACCAAUCCACUGCUUAAUUUGCUUGUAAGCGGCCUUGUUAACCUCGAAGGAGACCGAUGGAGCAAGCAUAGAAAAAUCAUAACCCUUGCAUUUCAUCAAGAUAAGUUGAAGGUAUAGAAUAGUAAUGGGUACUCAAGACUUUAAAGAAAACAUCAUACUUAAGCCUAUGCUUUUCUGAUUUAGAAAUAAUUGGAUGCAGAAUAUGUUGCCAGCAUUUUAUCAAAGUUGUAGUGACAUGUUUAAGCAAAUGGGAGAAGAUGGUGUGUACAGAAGGAUACAUUGAGUUAGAUGUGUCGCCUUAUCUCGUAGAUUUGACAAGAGAUGUUAUUUCCCGAUCUGCUUUUGGAAGCAGCUUCGAAGAAGGCAAACGAAUUUUCCAAUUACUAGAGGACCAACUCGUUCUCACAAUCAAAUUAAUACAAACUGUUUACAUUCCAGGAUGGAGGUAACCGUCUACUUUAAUUUACUUGAAAAAGGUUGCAAAUGUUGGAAUUGGCUAAAUUCGUGUUUGUUUUCUUGAAGGUUUUUGCCCACAAAGACAAACAGGGAGGUGAAGAUGAAACACAAAGACAUAAAAGAGUCGCUCAGGGAAAUGAUAAAAAGAAGAAAGCAGGCAAUUAAAGCAGGGGAAGAGAGUAAUGAGGACUUGUUGGACAUACUUGUGGAAUCCAAUAUCAGAGAAAUGGAAGCAAAGAAUAUGGGGAUGAGCAUUGAGGAUGUGAUUGAGGAAUGCAAGCUGUUUUACUUAGCUGGCCAGGAGACCACUUCGGUCUUACUGGUGUGGACUAUGGUUUUAUUAGCAAGGUAUCCCGAUUGGCAAAGUAAAGCAAGAGAGGAGGUUUUGCAUGUUUUGGGUGACAGUAAACCUGAUGCUGAUGGCCUUAAUCGUCUCAAAGUUGUAAGUCCCUAGCAUGUCUCUUGAAGGCCCGAUCUCUGAGGUCGACAACUCAAAAACUUGGUUCUUUGUUUCGCUAAUUCUACAGUUAACAAUGAUAUUGUACGAGGUUCUAAGGCUGUACCCACCAGUGAUUGAGCUAGGACGUUCCGUUCCAAAAGAAAUAAAACUGGGAAAUUUGUUGUUACCAGCAGGAACAGACGUUUCGGUUCCAAUCCUGCAGAUCCACCAUGACAAAGAUCUUUGGGGCGACGCCGCACGGGAAUUUAAGCCACAGCGGUUCACGGAAGGGGUUUCCUAAGCAACAAAGAGUCAAGUCACGUUUCUGCCAUUCGGAUGGGGUCCUAGGAUCUGCAUUGGCCAAAACUUUGCCAUGAUGGAAGCUAAAAUGGCGAUGGCUAUGAUUCUCCAACGCUUCUGGUUUGAGCUUUCCCCUUCCUAUGCUUACUCUCCUUACAACAUGGCAACUCUUCGUCCACAGCAUGGUGCACAGAUAAUUUUACAUAAACUUGGCUGUAAUUGAAUUGUUAUGUAAGCAAAUCUUUGUGAAAAUAUAGUGUUUUAGUGUAUCGUCAACGUCUGUCUGUAAUGGUACAAUUCCGAUGCAUGAAUAGUAAAUUUUGAGAUGUUUGGUGAAGUCCGAAAUAAUAUGCAGAAAUUGAGUGUCUAUGGUGGACAUAGUUGAGGGACUAAUGUGGUAAUUAUCAAUCAAAUAAUUCGGUACAAAGACUUAUAUGGAAAUUAAAGCAGGGGGAGUUGAAAAUGACUACUCUGCUUUGGGCAUCAAUUUAGAAAGAUUUAAAGUACAAAUGUGUUAUUAGUUAAGGGAUUUGUUUUAAAGAGGGAAUGACAAUUAAACCUCAUGGUUGAUUUGUGGAAGGGAACCAAUGAUGGGAUGAUUACUCUUAGUGGUGAAAAAAAAACUAUUAAGGUGGUUAUUAUAGUUGUUAUCACCAGCCUAAAAUUUGAAUAGGUUCAGGUCGGAUUAUAUUGAGCUUGCAAGAUUAGUUCACGGACCAAACUUGCAUGAUAAUAGGUAUUCACAACAAGAUAUCUAUAGUUUCCAACAAAGUCACAUGUGAGAUCGUGCAUUAGAACCGCAUAAACAUGUUUUAUGUUUAGAAUAUGAUAUGUGUCUAUGUGUAUAGAAUCUACCUAAUAUAUCAUAUUAAUGAAUAGUAUCAAUUGCGGAGCCAAAAAAUUAUUUGUGAGGGGUCAGAAUUAAAUUGUAUAUUUUUACAAAAAUAAAAAUUAAAUUUCACUAUUUUAAUAGUUUAUUUAUUUUUAAUUUUUAAAUGAUUAAAUUAAAUUUUAUAAAUUUUUAGGAUCAAAGUAUAAUUUUAUCAUUACUAAUUUAAAAUUUUAUAAAUUAUAAAAAGUUUAUAUGAAAAGUUUUCUAUUUUAGGGUGGCCAAAGCCCCUGUCAACUUCUGACUCGAUCACUUGCGGUUAGUUGGGUAAAGACUCAAGAAAAAUAGCGGUGUGUUUGGAUGGACGGUGCGUUUACUUGCGGUUAGUGUAAAAAUAGCGGUGGCGGUGAGAUUAGAUACUAUAGCAACACUGUAGCGUGAGACAAAAAGUAAGUUAAACGCACUGCACUGCACUUAAUCGUCUAUCUAAACUCACCAUAAGUGUCUAAAAUAUGAUUUAAGUGAAGAUACGUGGGGUAGGUGUCAUGGAAAUGUAAAAAAAAAAAAGAAUCCUACUAAUGUAUGGGAUGUGUACAAUUGAAUGCAGGAGUGAAUCAUUUGGGUAACAUUUGGACAAGAAACAUAAUGAACAAAAUGAAAGGAGAGGAAGCUAGUAAUAAAAGAUUCUUUUGGGUUAUAUAAUUUGUUUGGCAUAUAUUUUUAUAAUAUUUAAAUAUCAUUUUGGAGUUGUUGAAUUAUAAUUUAUUUUUAUGUUUUAAAACAUAAUUAUUCUAUUUUUAGAGGUCAGAGUAGAGGUGAGCAUGAGUCGGGCUACUCGGCUCGGGCUGAAGGCUUGCGCAAAAUGUGAGAGAUUUGGGUAAAAAUAUAGGCCCGAAAAAUGAGUUUAGACAAAAAAAAAUAUAAGGCCCGUUGAAAAAACAGGCUAGGCCUUGGGUAAGGCAUUUUGGCCCCAGACCCGGCCCAACCCAAAUUCACUAAGGGCACGUUUGGUUCGCUGUAUUGGAAUAGAGGCGUAAUGUAAUAGAGGCGUAAUGGAAUAGAGACGUAAUAGCAAAUCAAUUGUUUGGUUGAAUGUAAUGGAAUAGAGGCGUAAUAGUAUUCUUAUAUUUGGUUGAAUGGAAUAGAGUUGUAAUAGCAUAAGGAAAAAAGUUAAAAUGACUAGAAUACCCUUAGCAGAAAUUUGUUUAGAUAAAUGAUUAUUGUUAUUGUUAUUAAAUUUUAAUAAGAUUAUUAAUAUCAGUAAUAAAUAAUUUAAUCAUAUUUUAACAUAAUUAUUAUUAAAUAUAAUUUAAUAAAAAUAUAUAAUUUAAUAAAAUUCUUAAUAUUAAAUAUUCUUAAUAUUAAAUUACUAAAAUCAUAAUAUAUAAUACUAUAAAAUAUAAUUUAACAUAAUUAUUAUUAAAUAUAAUUUAAUAAAAUUCUCAAUAUUAAAUAUAUUCUUAUAUGAAUUUACUAAAAUCAUAAUAUAUAAUACUAUAAAAUAUAAUUUAAAAUAAUUAUUAUUAAAUAUAAUUUAAUAAAAAUAUAUAAUUUAAUCUAAAGUUUGAAUGUGUAUUUACCUAGCAAAAAUCAAUGAACUCUCGUGUAACUAUAACCUUAAUAAUAUAUGAUGUAUAAUUAAUAUUUCGUGACUAAUUAAUAGCAUAGAGAUAAAUAUAGUAAUGACGAAUUUAUAGUAUACGAUUAAAAUGCUAAUAAUUUAUAGUAUACAAUUAAAAUAUUAUAAAUAAAAUAAUAGUAAAUGAUAUAUAAGAUAAAUUAACAUAUAAAUAAUUCAGAUAUGUAAAGGAUAUGGCUGAAUAUGGUUGCUCCAAUAAUAAAGGAUAUAUAAUAUAUCAUGGUGUUGUUUUGUUUAGAUAGUUCGGUAACUUAGGAGGGUAUGUAUGAAGAACACAAGUUGAUGCAGAUAGAAAGACGACAAUAUUACAUGAUUACAAUAUGAUAUAGUAUAUAUAUAUAAUUUAUGGAUUCCUUGCAAUCACGUGGGUUCUCUAGCCAUUUUAUUUAGCAUAUCCAGUGAUAUUAAGAUCCAGAAUUAUAAUACAACUAAAAUCUGUGCACACUUAUGGAUGAUCCAACAAAGCCUCAGUUGGCUUUAGGUUCCAAAUCUUGCAACCCACAAACCAUAUUUGCUGGCACUGCAACAUCAAUCAUCUUAGGAUAUGCCAAGUUAAGAUCUGUUGCACCAACAAAAACAGAGGAGAAAUUGGAAGGCGAUCCGAAAAAACCCAAGGAUGCUUUUUCUUUUCUUUUUUUUUUAUAAUCUUUAUAGACUGGUUAUAUUGAGCAUCAACUUACUUUCCAUGAUGUUUUUGAAAGUCUCUUACAAAAAGGGUAUUCAACAAAUAAUAUAAUCAGACAUAUUGAUAGGACAAAUUGAAACUAGUAUUCUAUGAUCAUAAUAAAGAGUAAUCUUUAAUCAAAUGCGUGAAGGUAUUGAGAUGUCAUGCUUUUUCAUGAUUUCCUGUUUUACCAUGGCGAUGUUCAUUGGAAUAGUCCCAUCCAAGAGAAUCAAACCAAUGCUCAGCAAGAAAUGUUCAAUGCAUAUGUAAUUUUAAUUACAGAAGUUAUAUGCAGCUUAUAUGAGUUCAAGAUCAUAAAAUACUUCAUGGACAAAAGGAAACCCUUUCUUAUCACUGAAAUGAAAAUAGGCACUCUUAAUUUUCUAUUGUCAAAAGUAGCAAGCCAUUUUCCAAAGAAAAGGGAAGAUGGAUGGUUCCAGAAAGAAUACCUCAUCCUUUGUCAAGUGUGGAUUAUAUAGCAUCUCCUCUCCCACAGUGGUUACCUAUAAUCAAUGAGGUUUAUAAAAUCGAGCAAUCAUUUAUAUAUGUAAGAAAUGAUAGGAAUAAAGUUUUAUAUCUUACUGAGAAUCCUUUGUAGUCAUGAGCUGGAUAUAGCAAUGUCUCUUUCGGUAAUGUAAAAAUCUGGAUCCAUGAAACAAAUAAGUCCAUAAAUUUUAUUCAAAUUUUGACAAUUACAAUAAAAUUUUGAGAACUCAAAGAAUGUGACCAUAAAAAGUCCCCUGUCCUUACCUGUGAAUGCACUGACUUGUAGAGUUGCUGUGAACUUCCACCCUGCAAAAUGCAUUAAUCAGUGCUAGUCAAUGGCUACUGAAUGUGGGAGCAUUAGAGAAAAUUAUCUUAAAAACUUAAGUAUAACAAAAUUAGACAAUGACAUCCAGAUGGAAAGAAAUUGCCAGCAUAUAAGACCAGCAUUUAUGUACUCACGACUGAAAAUCCUUUGCAAAAAGUAUAGCCCUGAUAGUUCAAACUUUUACUUCAAGGAUGAUUUAAUUACUGAUUAGUUUGCCAUGAGGCUUGUGAAUGACAAACACUUUAUGUGCAACCACAGUAACAAGGUAAGCACCAAUAAGUAGAAGACUAGACGAAUAGGUAACCAAGAGUUAGAGCUAAAACAGACAAACAGAGCUACUAUCCAAUGAGCUAAAACAUACAAACAGAGGUAUAUUUUAAUAAUGAAAAUAAUCGAUUGCCUUAAACACCAUAUAGUGUUCCAAUCAAUCAAAUUAUAGCAGGCAUUAAAACCUUUCCCUUUCGUUAAUUCACAACUAUUAGCUUCAUUAAUCAAAUCCUAUGUACAGUUGAUCGAUUGAAAGUGUAACAUUUCAAAGACGAAAUUUAAACGCAAAACUGGUUAACAUUGAAAUUACAUGUAAAUAUAACCUAAAAAAUCAAAAAAUUAAUCAUAUUUUCAGAUUUCAGGCCGAAAUGGAAUGAAAUGAAAGGUAAAUCCAUUUUUUCCCCAAAAAAACAAAAAUAAAGAAAUAAUAUUUCAAGAACAGAUCAUUAAAUUCAUGGUAUAUAUAAAGAAAUUUAAUUGAAAUCAAAGGAAUAGAAGAAGGGAAAAGCGUACUUGGAACCAUUGCUGCUACUCUCUGUUACUCUGUUACCUCAUACGAUUCGUUAAAGGGUUGUUAGGGUUUGUUAAAAGGUUGGUCAGGAUAGAAGCAUGAAAAGGAGGGAGAAGGUUGGAAGGAAAUGGGAAGAAAAAUGAAAAAAAGAAGAAGAUGCUGCAACGGCUUGGAGGGUAAAAGAGGACCGAUUAGGUAAUCCUUUCUUUUGGAAGGGAUUACAAAUCGGCGCUGCAUAAGGGAAAAUGGGGAAUCAGUGCGCUGCGUAAUAGGCCCGUAUUAAGGCAAUACAGCCAACCAAACAUGGUAAUCAGUGGGGCCACGAAUUAGGGGUGUAUUGGCUAAUCCAAUACACCCAACCAAACAUGCUCUAAAGGACAAAAAAAUUUGAUUUUUUAAAUAUUAUUUUCUCUCUAUUUUGCUAUCAUUUUACUAUUAUGUUGCUACUAUGUUAUUGUUAUUUUUGAAUAUUGUAUAAAACUUAUUUUAUUGUUAAUUUUGUUAUUAUUUUAAAGACAUUUGUUAAUUUUGUUAUUAUUUUAGAGACAUUUGUUUGUUAAGUUGCAUCUAUCUUAGUGUUAUUUAAGUAUACAUAUUUUUUAAAAUUUAUUUUCAAUUUAUUGGGAAAUAUUUAUUUUGAUGUUUUUAGUAUUUUGGAUGUAUUAUAUAUAUUAAAAUUAUAUAAAAAUUAAUAUGGCCGAGCCAGGUCAGGCCCAGAUUUUAGCAUUUUUAUUCAGGUCGGGCUUGAGCAAAAUUUUAAGCCCAUUUUUUGGGCCAAACCAGGCCUGGGCUUAGCAAAUGGGCCUAAAUUUUUAGUCAAGCUCGACCUAAACCCGAUCCGGCCCAUGCUCACCUCUAGAUCAGAGCUGCCCUCGCUUUGCAUUUCUUUGAGAUUCAGUCUUAUCUACUGUUGAUUGCCCACUCAAUGGAGGGUUGAGUAGAAAGAUUUGGUGAAGCAAGCUAAGCUAUCAAUCAAGGUUGGAGAAAGCUUAGGAGGUCACAAUGCAUAAUUAUUUAAAUGUAAUUCUAAUAUUUAAAUAAAAUUUAUUAAUAUAGUAUUAACAAGCCCUAAAUGUAAUGAUUAUAUACUAUUACAUUUUUAAGAAGAGAAAACAUGUUUGAACCUUAAAAACAUCAUUAUUAAAAAUGAUAAUUACAAAUUUUAAAAUAUAAAAAAUAUAAUUAAAAAUUAAUUUUAAACCCGAGCUGGAUAAAAUUCUAAUUUUAGAUAACGAUACUAAUAAGAAAUCAAUAUUAAAAUGAAAAUGAAAAGUAAUUUAAUAUAAUUUUUGAGUCUUGGGCAAAGGCACUCAAUGAAUGCUUGGAAAGAAAUAAUGCAACUUGGUGAUAGCUUUUGUUGGAGUAAUAUGCUCUUAUUAUAGUUUUAUGUUUUUAUCUUGCAAAAACAACAUAUUGGAGUUUUCGGCAUGAUUUUUUCUUAAUACUUUACAUGAAAAAUAAUAAUGGGACUUAAAUUGCUACAAUAUUACAACACAAAGUUACAAUAAGAGCUUAUAACUCAACAAAGGCUAUCAAUAAAUAAUCUCAGGCAAGCUAAAGAGAAAUGUUGAGAAUACCACCCGAAUAGUGACUGACUUUAAAAGUUGAAAACCCGAAGCUAUAUUAUCUCAAACGAAAUCAAACCAUAAACAUUAAAAUUUUCAAGUCUACUAGUUACUGUAAAAAAUUCAGCUCCAACAGACACCAAAUGAGCCUUUGAUCGAAGAAAGUACGAAAAAUAGUCUAGGUAAACCAAGCUUCCAAACUUACUUAUCUUAUCUUUAAUUUGCAGUGAAAUUCAAAAUUAAGAUUUUGUUUAUUUCACUUGGAACAACUUUCAAAAAAUUAUUUUUGAAAAAUGAAUUGGUUUUUCGAAAUAGAUGAUAUUUUAUUGUGUCAAAAUUUUAUUCAUUGUAGGAAAACUUUUUUUAAAUCAUUUUCUUAGAGUUAUUUUUAGUUAAAUAAACAUAACAUAAAUAUAUUUGUUACAAAAAAUUAUACUAGUAUUUUCUUUUGACAAUUAAAAUUUAUUUUAUGGUAAGACAAUAUUUUAUAAUAAUUAAUAUCAUAUAUAUACGUAAUAAAAAUCAUGUUUAAUUAAAAUUUAAUUAAAAUUAGAUGUAUUAAUAAAGCUACUCCUCCACAACCCGCAUCCGCAACAGCACCAGCACCAGCACCAGCACCAGCAUCAGCACCAUGGGACAACUAUUGGGUUUCCUCCACCUGCCUCUAUCGCUCCUCCUCAGUAUUACCCCCAAGCCUACCAGACCGUGCCGGGUAUUCUACAAAUAUGAAAAAACCUUCUUCUCUUUUUAUUAGCUUAUCGAAAUGAAGGAUUUUGAGAUUUGGGCUUUUGUUAGAUGGAUGGUUAAUGAUAUUUUUUAGAUGAAAGAUACAAGUUUUUUAAUGUUUUAGAAGAAAAGGUGUUUAAAUAUUAGGAGUUUUUUAGCAGAGAAAGAAGAUAAAUAAAUGCAUAGAGAUACAUUAGCAAUAUUAUUUGGAUUUGGUUGUCUAAUGUAAUGAAGAAUUUUUUAAGGGUGACCUGAGUAGGUGUGGCAAGAUUCAAAGUUUUUUCUAUUAUAGCAGAUAUAUAUAUAUUAAUGGUUUAAGAAGACUAGAAGUCGGUUUCAAAGGAAGAUGAGAAAUAAAAGCAUUUAUAUAUAUGAUAUGUCAUUAAUUCAUAAACCAAAUAUAUAAAGUAUGUAAAAGUGUCAGGGGUUAAUCAUGGUGUUUUGACAAUCCGGUAACCUUCAACUUGAAGAAAACCUUAGGUUUCAAAAAUUUAUGUGAAGAGUUAGAAUGGUAUGCUUCAUGGAUCUGAAUAACUAGAACAGUGUAAGAGUGGUAUAUUGUGUCAAGUUUGGUUUCUUGUAUAUAAUUGUAUCGAAAACAAUGUUACAUGAGUUAAAAUGAAUGUUCAUCCAAUUUAACAAAGCCUGCAUUAUGUUGAUCAAAAUUUUUAAUUCAUGUUGAGGUUUCUUCCGUGAUAUCUUUGAUGUCAAGGUUAUGAUGUUGCUGAAGGGACACCUGUAAGAGAUAAGCCACCGUGCUGUGGCAUUGGAUUCGGAUGGUUCUUGUAAGUGUACAUAGUUUUCUUUGUUUUUAAAGAGUUCUUUACAUAUGAAGUAAAACAAGUAGCGACUUGAUGGAUAUGUCAUUAAGCUUUAACUUAAGCAAAUCAUUUUCCUUCAUCUCUAAUUGCCAUUUCUUUAAAAGAAAAAGAGGAAGUUUUGUAGUUUACAGUUUGGACAAAUGGAAGUUAAUAUAAUGCACUAUUUGGAUGGACUAUGGAGAUAUCCAAUCAUAUUGGAUGAGUUAUAAGAAACCUGUGAGUUCAUAUUGGGUUUACUUUAUAUCAUAAUUAGAUUGUUGAGCUGGCUGUCAUACUUAGAUGGUAUUUCACGUUGCUACUUGUUAAACUAUACCACUUUCACAUUCAUACGUGAAAUGGCUGGGAUUUAGUGCCAUUCUACUUAGCAGCCUCGUGUAAUACACAGGUGAAAUGUUUAUGUCUUCAUGUCACCUUAAAGUUCCCAUUUCCAUGACGGUAUUGUUAAGUAAAGACUGGUACAUACCCCAAAAUACGGAAAUUGUUUUGGAUGUAUACUAUACUUUACCAUGCAUGAUUUUUUACAAGUUUGCAUGGUAUUUUAUCAUUAUAUUGGUCUUUAUUUUCUAUACUCGCAGCUUCCAUUAAUAUAUUUUUAUGAAUUUUAUCAUUAUGCUGGUUUGAAGGUUCAUCAUUGGUUUCUUCAUUGGGGGCCAUCCCUGGUAUAUUGGAUUCUUUGUUUUACUUUGUGCAAGGAUAGACGACAGAGAGAAAGCAGGAUAUAUUGCAUGCACAAUUGCCGUGAGUAUCUUUUCUAUCAUUAUUUUUUUCUUUUCCAAUUUUAUGAAAGCCAUCCUUCCUGCCUUGUAUUGAUCAUCAAUUUAACCAUUAUAUAUAUGUAUCUUAUGUAUUUGUACCAUGCUUUAUCUUCAAUGCAAAUAUAAGUUAAACUACAAAGAUUGGAUUGUUAAAAAAAGUUUAAAAUGUUAAAAAAAUUGAAAAUUUUGAUUUUGUAAGAAUGAUAGAAAACCAAGGCCAGUGCUUGCAUAUGUUAUCUACUACAUGCACAAUCGGGUCGAUGUCUGUAUAUGUUUCAUGUUUAGAAAUCGUGUUCAAUUGGGUUACGAUAUGUACAAUUGAAGUGUCAAUUUAUAAUUUCCUUAUCAAGAUUACACAUUUUUUUGUUAAUAUUCGGAAUCACUCAAUGGUUAUAAACCCUGAUUGGAUACUGUCCACAAAGUCUAGUUGGAACAUCCCUUGUAUUCUUUGUCCUUUCUAAGAACUUUCCUUUCCAUCAUUCUCGCUUCUGUUUUUUUUUUCUUCCCUCUACUUUAAGUCAUUAUCUAACGUAGAUAUCCCUUGUAUUCUUUGUCCUUUCUAUGGCAAUCGAGUCAAUUGAUGGCAAGCCAAAAAAACAAAAAGAGCAGCUAUCCUGUCUUACUCGAUUGCCAUCCCUCCUGUUAAACACCAUUAAGAAAAGGAAAAUUUUAGUUAAGCUUUAAAACAGCCAUGUUUUAACGAUGUUGGUGAUGGUGCUUGUGCAGGCCCUUCUUGCUACAAUUACAAUUAUUCUUAGUGCAACAAUUAAAGCUGGUGGGUGAUAAAGCACACCUCUUUUGACUGAGAGAUGUAUAGGUUCCCAAAUAAUAUGUAUAUGCUCCCCCCCCUCCCUUUAUUUUAUUUUAUUUCCAGUAAGUUAUUGUUUAUGAUAAUUUGCAACAAAUGUUUUUGUCAUUAUUUUGUUGGUGAAUGAUAAUAAGAUUAAGCUUUACUUUCUUAAGCUCCAAUUCCUUGGACGUUGGUGAUUUUUUUAUUAUAGUUGAGUCAUUGUAUGGUAUUAAUAUAAUUUAUGUCGCUUAAAAUUUAUAACUAAAAAUAUAAAAUUUAAAUUUUACUUCAAUUUAUUUGUAUUUAUAAAUGGUUAAUUCAAACUUAUUUUUUUCCUCAUUAUAUUUUAUAUUUAAAUUAACAUUUAAACUAUUUUUCAUUAGCAAUGUUGUUAAGAAUUAUAUUUUUUAGCACCAACAUCAAACUUACUAAAAUUAAAUUUUUAACUAUUUAAAAAAAAUAUUUUUAGCUAUUUAUCAUCAUAGAGAAAAAAAGGUGACGUCACCACGCCUCAUGCUUCGACACCACAAACUAGACUCUCAUCACCCGUAUUUAUCAUCGAUUCAAAUUCCAGAACUACCUAAAAAUAUAUCUUCAAACUUCCUCUGGUUAAGUUCAUUGAUAGUCAACUUACUAUCAUUUCUAAAAAAAAAACAAAUAAAUUGGUUAAUAGUAAUCUCAAUGAUUCAAUUUUAUUCUUACCAGUAUCUGUCCUUUAGAAAGGGGCUUAUAAAAGGGGUAGAGGUGAGUAAACUUGAGCUUCAGCUUUCCACAAACACCUUAAUUUGAAGACACAGUUCUCUCAUACUAAAAAAGACAUGGAAGUUUACCUUGUAAUUAGAGAUUUGGUUUCAUUGCUUGUUGUUGGGUUAUUAAUGAUAUGGGGAUGCAGAACUUUAAACUGGGUAUGGCUGGCCCCAAAAAGGCUCGAAAGCUGCUUGAGACAACAGGGUUUUGCAGGGAAUCCUUACAGGUUCCUUUCUGGUGACAUAAAAGAGCUCUCAACUAUGAGCAGACAAACAAGAGCCAAACCUAUGCCUCUUAGUGAUGAUAUUGGGCCUUAUGUUGUUCCUUUUCAACAUCAAACUGCUAACCAGUAUGGUAUGUUUUUUUUGUUUAAUCUGCAAUUUAUGAUAAUUCUUUGUUAUUUAUGUAUGGAAUUUAUUGGGAGGAAAUGCAGGAAAGAAUUCAUUUACGUGGUUUGGUCCAAGACCAAGGGUGAACAUUACGGACCCUGAAAAAAUAAGAGAAAUACUUAACAAAUUUAAUGACUUCCAGAAGAUACAUACCAAUCCACUGCUUAAUUUGCUUGUAAGCGGCCUUGCUAACCUCGACGGAGACCGAUGGAGCAAGCGUAGAAAAAUCAUAAACCCUGCAUUUCAUCAAGAUAAGUUGAAGGUAUAGAAUAGUGAUGGGUAAUCAGACUUUACAGAAAACAUCAUACUUAAACCUAUGCUUUUCUGAUUUAGAAAUAAUUGGAUGCAGAAUAUGUUGCCAGCAUUUUAUCAAAGUUGUAGUGACAUGUUAAGCAAAUGGGAGAAGAUGGUGUGUACAAAAGGAUACAGUGAGUUAGAUGUGUGGCCUUAUCUCGUAGAUUUGACAAGAGAUGUGAUUUCCCGAUCUGCUUUUGGAAGCAGCUUCGAAGAAGGCAAACGAAUUUUCCAAUUACUAGAGGACCAACUCGUUCACAUAAUCAAAUUAAUACAAACUGUUUACAUUCCAGGAUGGAGGUAACCGUCAACUUAAUUUACUUGAAAAAGGUUGCAAAUGUUGGAAUUCGCUAAAUUCGUGUUUGUUUUCUUGAAGGUUUUUGCCAACGAAGACAAACAGGGAGAUGAAGAUGAAACACAGGGACAUAAAAGAGUUGCUUAUGGAAAUGAUAAAGAGAAGGGAGAAGGCAAUUAAAGCAGGGGAAGAGAGCAAUGAGGACUUGUUGGACAUACUUGUGGAAUCCAAUAUCAGAGAAAUGGAAGCAAAGAAUAUUGGGAUGAGCAUUGAGGAUGUGAUUGAGGAAUGCAAGCUGUUUUACUUAGCUGGCCAAGAGACCACUUCGGUCUUACUGGUGUGGACUAUGGUUUUAUUAGCAAGGUAUCCCGAUUGGCAAAGUAAAGCAAGAGAGGAGGUUUUGCAUGUUUUGGGUGACAGUAAACCUGACGCUGAUGGCCUUAAUCGUCUCAAAGUUGUAAGUCCCUAGCAUGUCUUUUGAAGGUCCGAUCAAUGAGGUCGACAACUCAAAAACUUUGUUUCUUUUUUCGCUAAUUCUACAGGUAACAAUGAUAUUGUACGAGGUUCUAAGGCUGUACCCACCGGUGGUUGAGCUAGAACGUUCCGUUCCAAAAGAAAUAAAACUGGGGAAUUUGUUGUUACCAGUAGGAACAGAAGUUUCGGUUCCGAUCCUGCUGAUCCACCAUGACAAAGAUCUUUGGGGCGAUGACGCACGGGAAUUUAAGCCAGAGCGGUUCGCGGAAGGGGUUUCCAAAGCAACAAAGAGUCAAGUCACGUUUCUGCCAUUCGGAUGGGGUCCUAGGAUCUGUAUUGGCCAAAAUUUUGCUAUGAUGGAAGCCAAAAUGGCGAUGGCUAUGAUUCUCCAACGCUUCUGGUUCGAGCUUUCCCCUUCCUAUGCUCACUCUCCUUACGGCAGGGCAACUCUUCGUCCACAGCAUGGUGCACAGAUAAUUUUACAUAAACUUGGCUGUAAUUGAAUUGUUAUGUAAACAAAUCUUUGUGAAAACAUAGCGUUUUAGUUUAUCGUCAAAGUCCGGUGUCUGUAAUGGUACAAAUUCGAUGCAUGAAUAGUAAAGUUUGAGAUGUUUGGUGAAGUCCGAAAUAAUAUGCAGAAAUUGAGUGUGGUAAUUAUCAAUCAAAUAAUUCGGUACAAAGACUUACAUGGAAAUUAAAGCAGGGGGAGUUGAAAAUGACUACUCUGCUUUGGGCAUCAAUUUAGAAAGAUUUAAAGUACAAAUGUGUUAUUAGUUAAGGGAUUUGUUUUAAAGAGGGAAUGACAAUUAAACCUCAUGGUUGAUUUGUGGAAGGGAACCGAUGAUGGGAUGAUUAUUCUUAGUGGUAAAAAAAACUAUUGUGGAGGUUAUUAUACUUGUUAUCAUCGGCUUAAAAUUCGAAUGGGUUCAAGUCGGAUUAUAUCGAGCUUGUAAGAUGAGUUCACGGAUCAAAUUUGCAUAAUAAAAAUACUUAAAUGAAAAAAAUUUCUAUUUUAGAGGGACCAGAGCCCCUACCAAUUCCCGGCUCAGCUACUAAACAAUACCCAUAUCAUAUAAAUAAAUACCACCAUAAAAAAAACUCAAAGAAAAACACUGACAAAUGAUAAAUAGAUAGAUGUUGGAUAAGUGUCCAAAAUAUGAUUUAAGUGAAGAUACAUGGGGUAGGUGUCACGGAAAUGUGAAUACAAGAAUACUACUAAUGGGAUGUGUACAGUUGAAUGUAGGGAGCAAAAAGAGGAGUGAAUCAUUUUGGUAACAUUGGGACAAGAAACAUAAUGAACAAAAUGGAAGGAGAGGAAGCUAGUAAAAGAAAUUUUUUGGGUCAUAUAAUUUGUUUGGCAUAUAUUUUUAUAAUUUUUAAAUAUCAUUUUGGACUUGAAUUAUAAUUUUUUUAUAUAUUAUCUUAAAAUUGUAUAAAUUUUAAGGAGUUAAAACAAAAUUAUUCUAUUUUUAGAUGGUUAAAGUAGAGAUGAUAAUGGGUUGAGCUAUUCGGCCCAGCCUGACGAUCCACCCGAAAAAUAGGAAGGUUUGGGUAAAAAUAUAGGCUUGAAAUAUGAAUUUGAGCAAAAAAAGAGGCCCGUUUAGAAAAUGGGCCGAGCCUCGGGUAAAACCUUUUGGGUCUAGACCUGACCUAAAUUAUAUAUUAAAUAUAUAUAUUUUUAUUUUUAAUCAAAUAUACUUUUGUUUUAUUAUUAAUUUGGUUAUUAUUUUAGUUCUAAUUUGUUUCAAUUUUAAUAUAACUACUUUUUAUUAUAUUUUCAAUUUGUGCAUUGUUUUAAGAAUUAUUUUAGUCUCAUUAUUUAUUUAUUUUUUAUUUUAAUAUUUGUUUUAAAAUUUUUUAUUUAUUGAAAUAAGCUAAAAAAAUUAAUAUGGGUUGGACCAGACCGGGCUCGGGCCUAGUAAUUUUCUUUUGGGCCGGACUUAAACAAAUUUUUAAGCCCAUAUUUUGAAUUGGGUCCUACACUAGAAAAUGGACCUAAAAUUUUGUAUUACCUUUAGGUCAGAGCUAUCCUCGUUUUGCAUUUCUUUGAGAUUCAGCCUUAUUUACUUUUGAUUGCCCACUCAAUAGAGGGUUGAGUAGAAAUAUUUGGUGAAGCAAGCUAAGCUAUCAAUCAAGGUGUGCAUAAUUAUUUAAAUGUAAUUCUAAUAUUAAAAUAAAAUUUUUAUUAAUAUAGUAUCAACAAGCAUUAAAUGUAAUCAUCAUAUACUAUUAAAUUUUCAAUAAGAGAAAACAAGCUUGAACUUUAAAAACGAUGUUACUAAAAACAUUAUCACAAAUCUUGAAAUAUAAAAAAUACUUUUUAAUAUAAUAAAAAAAUAAUUUUAAAACCGAGAUGAAUAAAAUUCUAAUUUUAAUUAAUGAUACCAACAACAAAUCAAUAUUUAAAUUAAAAUUUAUCUUAAUUUAAUAUAAUAAAAUUGGACUUGAAUAUUGAAUUUUUGAGUCUUGGGCAAAGUAGAGGUGCUCAUGGGCCGGGUUGGGUCGGGUUUGGGAAAAAUUUCGGCCCGCAUCCUAGGCUCGGGCUCGGCCCGACCCAAAUAUGGGCCUAAAAUUUUGUCUAGGCCUAGCCCGGCCCGGCCCAACUCAUUUUUUUUAAUAAACACCAAAAAUUUAUUUUGAAAAUAAAAAAAUAAAAAAAGUAUUUUAAAAAUAUUUUAAAAUUUUUAAAAAAUAUAUAUAUUUAUUAUAUAUUCGGGCCGGGCCAGGCCCGAGCCAAAAAAGUGGCGCCCAAGGCCCGGCCUGUUUUCUAAACGGGACUCAUUUUUUACCCAAACCCAUAUUUCGGGCCUAUAUUUCUACCCGAAUCUCUCAUAUUUAGGGCGAACCGUCGGGCCGGACCGGGCCGCCCGGCCAUGAACACCUCUAGGACAAAGUCACUCAAUGAAUGCAUGGAAAGAAAUAAUGCAACUUGGUGAUAGCUUUUGUUGGAGUUAUAUGCUUUUUUUUUACGUAGUGGAACUUUCGGUGGAUUUUCAAGUUUCAUGAACUUUAUACUCUAUGCUUUACGUGAAAAAAAAAAUUCAUUGGACUUAAAAGUCUACCAAAAGUUUCACUAAAAAAAAAACCAUUGCUACAAGAUUACAACAUAAAGUUACAAUAAGAGCUUAUAACUCAACAAAGGCUAUCAAUAAAUAAUCUCAAACAAAUUAAAGAGAAAUGUUGAGAGUACCACUCGAAUAGUGAUUAACUUUAAAAAUUGAAAACCCAAAGUUAUAAUAUCCCAAACGAAAUCAAACCAUAAACAUUAAAUUUUUCGAGUCUACUAGAUACUGCAAAAAAUUCAGCUCCAACAGACACCAAAUGAACCUAUGAUCGAAGAAAAUACGAAAACUAGUCUAGCUAAAUCAAGCUGCCAAACUUACUUUUUAUCUUAUCUUUAAUUUGCUGUGAAAUUCAAAACUAAGGUUUUGUACUUAGAACAACUUUCAAAAAGUUAAUUUUGAAAAAUGGAUUGAAUUUUCAAAAUAGAUGAUAUUUUAUUGUGUUAAAAUUUUAUUCGUUGUUUGAAAAAAAAUUUAAAUCAUUUUCUUAGAAUUAUUUUUAGUGAAACAAACAUAUCAUAAAUAUAUUUGUUAUAAAAUAUUUAUAUUAAUAUUUUCUUUUAACAAUUAAAAUAUAUUUUGUGAUAAGGUAUAUUUUAUAAUAAUUAAUAUCAUAUAUACUUAAUAAUAAAUCAUGUCUAAUUAAAAUUUAAUUUCAAUUAAAUAUAUUAAUAAAGCUACAUAUAAUCAUAUUUUAUAUAAUAAAAAUAUUAAUAUAAAUAUUUUUUUAAUAAUAUAUUAAAGAAUAUUUAAAAUUUAAAUUUAUUAUUACUAAGAUUAAUUAUUAAAAUAAAAAUGUAAUGUUAAAUAAUUUAUCCAAUGAUAAGUUAUAUUAAUAAUUUAUUAUAUUAUUAAAUAUAAAUAAUUAAAUAUGUAUGUUUAAUAAUAUUAUGUUAUAAUAUUUAUUAUUAAUAUUUUAAUAUUUUUAAACAACCAUGUUUUAAAGAUGGUGGUGAUGGUGAUGGUGCAGGCCCCCUUGUUACAAUUACAAUAUUUUUAAGUGGGAUGCAUGUAAUAUAUUGUUAGGGUUUUAGAGUGUGUGGUCUUUAAAAGGGUUAAAUUAUAUAUUUAUAUAAUAUGAUUAUUGUUUAUAAAUAUAAUAUUGUAGAUAAACUUUUAUGCAUGUCAAUAUGUAUCCUACUCUGGGGUUAAUAUGUAUUUUUAGAUAUGGAUUCACCUAUAUAAUAGUAUGAAUCCAUCAUGCGGUCUCAUGAAAUAUACAAACACAUAUCGUGCGAACACAAAGUACGAACAAUAAAAAGUACAAAUCAAGACCAAUUGAGUAAUUGAAUAGCAGAUAGGUAAUAAUGACUAUCCCCUCUUGUUUGAAUUUAUUUUAUUUCCAGUGAGUUAUCGUUUAUGAUAAAUUUACAACAAAUGUUUUUAUCAUUAUUUUGUUGGUAAAUGAUAAUAAGAUUAAACUUUACUUUCUUAAGCUCCUUCAAUUCUUUGGACGUUAGCAAGUAAACUUGAGCUUCAGCAUUCCACAAACACCUUAAUUUGAAGACACAGUUCUCCCAUACUAAAAACAACAUGGACGUUUACCUUGUAAUUAGAGAUUUGGGCUCAUUGUUAGGUUAUUAAUGAUACGGGGAUGGAGAGCUUUAAACUGGGUAUGGCUGGCCCCAAAGAGGCUCGAAACGUGCUUGAGACUAGAGGUCCAGGCAAAUUUUUAGGCCCAUUUUUUAGGCCUGGACUGGGCCCGACUCGAAAUAUGAGCUUAAAAAUUUGUCUAAGUUCGGUCCAAAAGAAAAUUGUUAAGCCUAAGCCCGGCCCAUAUUAAAUUUUACAACACCAAAAAACUAUAUAUUUAAUAUAUAUAUUUGAUUAAAAAGUAUAUUUAAUUAAAAAUAAAAAUAUAUAUUUAAUAUAUAAUUCGGGCCGGGCCGAACUCGGGCCAAAAAAGUUUUACUCGGGGCUGGUCCGUUUUCUAAACAGACCUCGUUUUUUUGUCAAAAUCCAUAUUUUAGGCUUAUAUUUUUACCCGAAACUUCCUAUUUUUCGGGUGAACCGUCAGGCCGGACUAGGUAGCCCAACCAAUGAUCACCUCUACUUGAGACAACAGGGUUUUGCAGGGAAUUCUUACAGGUUCGUUUCUGGCGACAUAAAAGAGCUCUUCACUAUAAGCAUACAAACAAGAGCCAAACCUAUGCCUCUUAGUGAUGAUAUUGGGCCUUAUGUUGUUCCUUUUCAACAUCAAACCGUCAAUCAGUAUGGUAUGUUUUUUAAUUUAAUCUGCAAUUUAUGAUAAUUCUUUGCUAUUUAUGUAUGGAAUUUAUUGGGAGGAAAUGCUGGGAAGAAUUCAUUUACGUGGAUUGGUCCAAGAUCAAGGGUGAACAUUACGGACCCGGAAAAAUAAGAGAAAUACUUAACAAAUUUAAUGACUUCCAGAAGGUACGUACCAAUCCACUGCUUAAUUUGCUUGUAAGCGGCCUUGUUAACCUCGAAGGAGACCGAUGGAGCAAGCAUAGAAAAAUCAUAACCCUUCAUUUCAUCAAGAUAAGUUGAAGGUAUAGAAUAGUGAUGGGUACUUAGACUUAAUUUACAGAAAACAUCAUACUUAAAUCUAUGCUUUUCUGAUUUAGAAAUGAUUGGAUGCAGAAUAUGUUGCCAGCAUUUUAUCAAAGUUGUUGUGACAUGUUAAGCAAAUGGGAGAAGAUGGUGUGUACAGAAGGAUACAGUGAGUUAGAUGUGUGGCCUUAUCUUGUAGAUUUGACAAGAGAUGUGAUUUCCCGAUCUGCUUUUGGAAGCAGCUUCGAAGAAGGCAGACGAAUUUUCCAAUUACUAGAGGACCAACUCGUUCUCACAAUCAAAUUAAUACAAACUGUUUACAUUCCAGGAUGGAGGUAACCCUCAACUUAAUUUACUUGAAAAAGGUUGCAAAUGUUGGAAUUGGCUAAAUUCGUGUUUGUUUUCUUGAAGGUUUUUGCCAACAAAGACAAACAGGGAGAUGAAGAUGAAACACAGACAUAAAAGAGUCGCUUAGGGAAAUGAUAAAGAGAAGGGAGAAGGCAAUUAAAGCAGGGGAAGAGAGCAAUGAGGACUUGUUGGACAUACUUGUGGAAUCCAAUAUCAGAGAAAUGGAAGCAAAGAAAAAGGGGAUGAGCAUUGAGGAUGUGAUUGAGGAAUGCAAGCUGUUUUACUUUGCUGGCCAGGAGACCACUUCGGUCUUGCUGGUGUGGACUAUGGUUUUAUUAGCAAGGUAUCCCGAUUGGCAAAGUAAAGCAAGAGAGGAGGUUUUGCAUGUUUUGGGUGACAGUAAAC